GUCAGGAUGGCCGAGCGGUCUAAGGCGCCAGACUCAAGGUGACGAGCCUUCCUCUGAACGGGAUUUCUGGUCUCCGAAUGGAGGCGUGGGUUCGAAUCCCACUUCUGACA
rnacentral:tRNA from 1 species